GGGCACACUCGGUGCAAUUUGCCCAGGGAUAUGCCUAAGUUUGGUCAGUGCCUGAAGUUUCUACCAGAGGUCCCCCAGAUUGGAAAGUCUCUAUUGACAAAGUUUCAGCACCAAGAUAUUAUCCAAAAUUCAGAGGAGGAAAAGGGCCCUGGAGCUCCUGGAGACCUGGGCCUCAGGAUCUUUGAGCGUUGCAUCCAGCUCAGGAGUUACACGAAGCAACCCAAGCUCCACCAAGCAACUCUGAAUUAUGGAAUGGAAAUUUAUCAAAGGUCACUUGGAAGUGGGAAUUGCAAACUUUUUACUGGAAAAACAAAAAAUAAGAAUACCCUUUUGAUCUUGU